CUGAGAGUUUGAUUCUGGCUCAGAACGAACGCUGGCGGCAGGCUUAACACAUGCAAGUCGAGCGGUAACAGAUCUAGCUUGCUAGAUGCUGACGAGCGGCGGACGGGUGAGUAAUGCAUAGGAAACUGCCCAGUAGUGGGGGAUAGCCCGGGGAAACCCGGAUUAAUACCGCGUACGCCCUUCGGGGGAAAGCAGGGGAUCUUCGGACCUUGCGCUAUUGGAUGUGCCUAUGUCGGAUUAGCUAGUUGGUGGGGUAAAGGCCUACCAAGGCGACGAUCCGUAGCUGGUCUGAGAGGAUGAUCAGCCACAUCGGGACUGAGACACGGCCCGAACUCCUACGGGAGGCAGCAGUGGGAAAUUUUCUGCAAUGG
rnacentral:rRNA from 1 species